GACGAACGCUGGCGGCGUGCCUAUUACAUGCAAGUAGAACGCUGAAGGAGGAGCUUGCUUCUCUGGAUGAGUUGCGAACGGGUGAGUAACGCGUAGGUAACCUGCCUGGUAGCGGGGGAUAACUAUUGGAAACGAUAGCUAAUACCGCAUAAGAGUAGAUGUUGCAUGACAUUUGCUUAAAAGGUGCAAUUGCAUCACUACCAGAUGGACCUGCGUUGUAUUAGCUAGUUGGUGGGGUAACGGCUUACCAAGGCGACGAUACAUAGCCGACCUGAGAGGGGGAUAGGCCAAACUGGGACUGAGAAAAGGCCCAGAAUCCUACGGGAGGCAGCAGUAGGGAAUCUUCGGCAAUGGACGGAAGUCUGACCGAGCAACGCCGCGUGAGUGAAGAAGGGUUUCGGAUCGUAAAGCUCUGUUGUAAGAGAAGAACGAGUGUGAGAGUGGAAAGUUCACACUGUGACGGUAUCUUACCAGAAAGGGACGGCUAACUACGUG
rnacentral:rRNA from 1 species